rnacentral:rRNA from 1 species
GAUAAGGUUAAGUGAAUAAGGGCGCACGGUGGAUGCCUUGGCACUAGGAGCCGAUGAAGGACGGGACUAACACCGAUAUGCUUUGGGGAGCUGUAAGUAAGCUAUGAUCCAGAGAUUUCCGAAUGGGGGAACCCAAUAUCUUUUAUAGGAUAUUACUUUUCAGUGAAUACAUAGCUGAUUAGAGGUAGACGCAGAGAACUGAAACAUCUUAGUACCUGCAGGAAGAGAAAGAAAAUUCGAUUCCCUGAGUAGCGGCGAGCGAAACGGGAAGAGCCCAAACCAACAAGCUUGCUUGUUGGGGUUGUAGGACUCCAAUAUGGUAGUCUGUUAGUAUAGUUGAAGGAUUUGGAAAAUUCCGCUAAAGAGGGUGAAAGCCCCGUAGACGAAAUGCUGACAACACCUAGGAGGAUCCUGAGUACGGCGGAACACGAGAAAUUCCGUCGGAAUCCGCGGGGACCAUCCCGCAAGGCUAAAUACUCCCUAGUGACCGAUAGUGAACCAGUACCGUGAGGGAAAGGUGAAAAGCACCCCGGAAGGGGAGUGAAAUAGAUCCUGAAACCGUGUGCCUACAACAAGUCAAAGCUCGUUAAUGAGUGAUGGCGUGCCUUUUGUAGAAUGAACCGGCGAGUUA